rnacentral:rRNA from 1 species
CGCGGUGAAUACGUUCCCGGGCCCUUGUACACACCGCCCGUCAAGCCACGGAAGCCGAGGGCGCCUGAAGUCGGGGGAUUAAAUCCCUGCCGAGGGCGAAAUGGGUAACUGGGGCU